rnacentral:rRNA from 1 species
GAUGAACGCUGGCGGCGUGCCUAAUACAUGCAAGUCGAGCGAACAGACGAGGAGCUUGCUCCUCUGAUGUUAGCGGCGGACGGGUGAGUAACACGUGGAUAACCUACCUAUAAGACUGGGAUAACUUCGGGAAACCGGAGCUAAUACCGGAUAACAUGUUGAACCGCAUGGUUCAACAGUGAAAGACGGUCUUGCUGUCACUUAUAGAUGGAUCCGCGCCGCAUUAGCUAGUUGGUAAGGUAACGGCUUACCAAGGCACGAUGCGUAGCCGACCUGAGAGGGUGAUCGGCCACACUGGAACUGAGACACGGUCCAGACUCCUACGGGAGGCAGCAGUAGGGAAUCUUCCGCAAUGGGCGAAAGCCUGACGGAGCAACGCCGCGUGAGUGAAGAAGGUCUUCGGAUCGUAAAACUCUGUUAUUAGGGAAGAACAAAUGUGUAAGUAACUAUGCACGUCUUGACGGUACCUAAUCAGAAAGCCACGGCUAACUACGUG